rfam:Moniliophthora roreri MCA 2997 sctg_0299_0002, whole genome shotgun sequence.
GGCCGACUAGCUCAGUUGGUUAGAGCGUCGUGCUAAUAUUGUUAUAUUAACGCGAAGGUCUUGGGUUCGAUCCCCACGUUGGCCA